UCCUGGGAUCUUUUAGAAGAUGAUUGCUCCCCUCUUAGAGAUCCAGGCACCAGAGAGGAGGAGCUCUUCCUUCCAGCUCCAUCUUCCUGGGUUCUCAGAAGGCCUGUCCCAGGCAAAGUGCAAACGUGAAGAAUACUGUUCCUCGGACAGUUGGUAAUGUUGCAGCUGGAGCGAUUAUCCUACCUGCAGGAUGAGGGGCACUGUCCGUACUCGGCUCAGAAUUGGCACAGAAAUUAACUGGCUGUCAGAGCUGGAACUCACACUGGUGGAAUGUGCAGGGCUCAGGCGUGACAAGGGAUACUGUGUUUUCAAUCCCUGCCAGCUGAGAUGUGUCAGCUUCCCGCAGAGUUUGAUAAAAGAAAGAAGAAAAUAAGAUAAAGAGAGGGAGAAAAUGAGGCCAAAGGCAGAAACCGACUCAGCACUAAAAGAACAUUUUAAGAGGCAUUUAAUUAGAGUGCUAAAGUCUGAAAAAGAAUAGAAACAAGAAGACUUUCAAAAGAGGAAUUCAUCAUAGACAUAUUGAUUUUCUCUCCUCAAAAAGGCUGUGGAUCUCCUUCUGGAUUUGAAGAGCUUUCUUUGAAGUCACGGGGCAGAAGUUGUGCACGUGGAAGAGCCUAGGACAUCUGUCUGGGAGGACUACUGGUGAACAUAUGAGGGCAAAGAGAAGGAACACCAUA